UACCAGCACCCCGAGUGGUCGGGACGAUUAUUGGGCCUAAAGCAUCCGUAGCCGGUUCUACAAGUCUUCCGUUAAAUCCACCUGCUCAACAGUUGGGCUGCGGAGGAUACUAUAGAGCUAGGAGGCGGGAGAGGCAAGCGGUACUUAGUGGGUAGGGGUAAAAUCCGUUGAUCCAUUGAAGACCACCAGUGGCGAAGGCGGCCCCCUGGUUGGAUACUGACGCUGAUACGCGAAAGCGUGGGGAGCAAACAGG
rnacentral:rRNA from 1 species